rnacentral:rRNA from 1 species
AUUGAACGCUGGCGGCAGGCCUAACACAUGCAAGUCGAACGGAGUGGCGGGCGGGUGAGUAAUGCCUAGGAAUCUGCCGGGUAGUGGGGGAUAACGUCCGGAAACGGGCUGUAAUACCGCAUACAAUCCGAUGAGCCUAGGUCGGAUUGGAUAGUUGGGGGGGUAAAGGCCUACAAAGGCGACGAUCCGUAACUGGUCUGAGAGGAUGAUCAGCCACACUGGAACGGAGACACGGUCCAGACUCCUACGGGAGGCAGCAGUGGGGAAUAUUGGACAAUGGGCGAAAGCCUGAUCCAGCCACGCCGCGUGUGUGAAGAAGGUCUUCGGAUUGUAAAGCACUUUAAGUUGGGAGGCGUUACCAAAAGAAUAAGCACCGGCUAACUUCGUGCCAGCCGCCGCGGUAAUAC